rnacentral:misc_RNA from 1 species
GAUGAAGAACGUAGCGAAAUGCGAUAAGUAAUGUGAAUUGCAGAAUUCAGUGAAUCAUCGAAUCUUUGAACGCACAUUGCGCCCGCCAGCAUUCUGGCGGGCAUGCCUGUUCGAGCGUCAUUUCAACCCUCGAGCCCCCCCGGGGGCCUCGGUGUUGGGGGACGGCACACCAGCCGCCCCCGAAAUGCAGUGGCGACCCUGCCGCAGCCUCCCCUGCGUAGUAGCACACACCUCGCACCGGAGCGCGGAGGCGGUCACGCCGUAAAACGCCCAACUUUCUUAGAGUUGACCUCGGAUCAGGUAGGAAUACCCGCUGAACUUAAGCAUAUCAAAAGCGGAGGA